GUGAGGGACGAAUGGGGGAAGUCGCAGCAGUGGCCGCCCACCGGCGCAAUGCUGAAUUGAAAGGAGCAGUGUUCGAUUACAACUAUGGAAUUGGGAAGCAGGGCUCUACGUUAAAAACAAAAAUGACUUGCCCAUGGGGAAUCCUCAAGGCCAGGUUUAGAUGGCGAGCUAGGAGAACCCUGCAUUAAGGCAACCCGCCUGAAAGCUUUGAAGCCCGAAUUGUUACCUGAUGAGCUGGCAUCUACCUGCUCUGGUCGGGCCGGUAGGAGGCUUUGCAGCCGUCUCUUUUCUUUUGUCUCCCUCAGUGCUCAUUGGCCUUCAUACAAACUCCACUCCCUUCCUCCACCCCUAACCCUCUGGACACCCGAUUACUGGGCCAUUGGACAGUUGUAUGCCUUGGGACUCUCAGUCCUCAGUUCUUUAGUACACUAGACGAAUGCACUUUGUAUACUGAUCUCAUUGAAAGUGUUAUUGUAAAUUAAUAUUGUUAAUGGCCAUUCCUAUUUAAAUAUGUUUGUAUUGUUCUAUGGUUUUUGCACUUUAUAAUAUAUGGUACCACCACAGCUUCAAAUUGUGUGCCUCCCAGAGCCGAAAACUGGAUUUUCUGAUUCUAGCCUAGAUCUUGCAAUUACCUUGGUUUGUGCCUAAAGCUAAUGUAAUAAGGCAUUGUACAUGCUACACCUCCCUAGCAGGGGCCCCCCAAAAGCCAGGACCCCAGGCAAAUGCUUGGUUUACCUGUUGGCACACCACGUCUCUGCACAAAAUGUUGGGCUGAAGACUGGGGUUGGGUAUCAAGUCCGGGUAUUUAUUGGAACACUGAUUGUUGCUUGUUGCUAAUGGUAAGUAUGUUUGUUUCGGCUUUUUCCUGAUUACGAUGUUGCCACAGCAGAUCUUUUGAUCCGCAUCUGACUUUAUAUUCUGGAUGCUCUUCCUGACAAAUACAAUGAUGCUUACUAGUGGAGAUUCGAACCUGGGGCGUCCAGACGCUAACCUCGGCGGCUCUUAUAGUUACUAAUGGUGAGUAAUAUUGAUUAAUUAAUUUAAUGGGGACCUAUUAUGCAAAUUUUUCUGCCCUUUGUAUCGCUCCUAUAGAGCAGCUACACACGAUAACCAGCACAGCUUUCUAGUUCUUACAGAAUCUGCACCUAUUCAGCUGUAUUUCUUUGGAAUCCGUACGUUCCGCAAAAAUACAGUUUUAAUGUAUUCCACCCACUCUACUGUGGUUGCUAACACUCCCGAGUGCUUAGGAGUUGUUUUGCCGCUAGCUGCGAACCUAACUUUAUAGGAGUUGAUAAUAAAAAGCGAUUUAGCUUUUUAAAAUGUUCGCUUACAUACAGCCGUGCAUGUUGGUCCCGGACUGGACAGUCCGAAGUUUCUCAAGAAAAGAGGCGUCUCUCAAUGGUAAGUAGCUUCAGCAUCACAAAGGAACAGUUCUACAACGCCCUCUGAAACUCAAACUUCUUUCAGGGCUCACUUCCAAAUGCAUAAACCUCAUUAUCGCAACCUUUGGCAACACAAGAAUACAACAUUCUAACGACAUGUUUUAAACAUGUUUGAUAUCAACCAUUGUCAUUACCCCGAUACCAUUGUGGUGACUUGUAGUUAAUUUCCACAGCUCUUCAUCAUCAUGUAUUAUAGCAAUGAAUGCCCCAUUCUUCAUCUGUUACAUAACAUUACUUUAUGUCAUUCAGCGGACAGUCCAGUCUUCAAACUUCAAAGUCAAUCUAUGGUGCAUUGCAGUCAAAUGUAGAGCUCAGUAUCUUUUUCUUCUCUUUUUAAAAUUUCAGCAGGCACCCUAUCUAACUAAUAUUCUCCGCUCCCACCAAUUAACCUGCUGAAUAACACAGGAUAAUGUUUAAAUCCCCAAUAAUGGGGAUUAGCUCAUAAUCAACCAAAAGGAUCCUCCAGCGCCAACGUUUUCACUCUUUAAUUUUGCCAUUUUUUUCCCCCCGUAGUUGCCAACAUGAAAAGAAAGUAAUGGUCCAAGUUCAUCAAGGCUCAGCAGCGGGGGAGUCCAAACUUCUAAGGAGGAAAUGUAAGCGUUAGUUAAUUACAAAGGCAGCUUAAACGCUCAUAAUUUGCCCGUUUCUUUUGUAGCGCAGGUUAUCACCAAGUCAUGUCAGUGUAAUUUUAGAGGCGAGUGAAGCCGGCAUUGAAAAUCGGCAUUUAGCUGCUCAGCUGGGAAUCCACUUGCGUCGUCCAGAAGUGUUUGCAGUCAUGAUGGCAGCGCUGACGUCACCCACGGGGCGGCACAACAAAUCAAUCUCCUCCAUCCUACCCUGUCUUCUGCAUCUGUCUCUCUCACACCAACGAUCCUCAUGUCCUCCUUGACUACAUCCAUAAACCUCCUCUUUGGUCUUCCACUACGCCUCCUACCUGGCAGCAUCCUUCUACCAAUAUAUUCACUAUGUCUCCUCUGGACAUGUCCCAACCAUCUCAGUCUGGCCUAAAGGACUUCAUCUCCAAGCCCUCUAACAUGUAAUGUCCCUCUGAUGUACUCCUUCCGGAUCCUAUCCAUCCUGGUCACUCCCAGUGAGAACCUCAGCAUCCUCAUCUGUGCAUCCUCCAGUUCUUUUUUUUUAAUGCUGAUAUCGUGCCAAUAAUUACUGGCACAGAUAAUUAUCGGACAUCCCUAAAAAAACAAAAUUAAAAUGUGAAAUCACUUAUUAUAUGUAUCUUUCUUGAAUGUAUUAUCUAUUAUCUGUAAUAAUACUGUAACCUAUUUAUUGAUUAUUC